AUGAAAAGGUGGAGGUGGUCAGAGAGAGAGAGAGAGAGAGAGAGAGAGAGAGAGAGAGAGAGAGAGAAACAAACAAGCAAGCAAGCACACACACACACACACACACACACACACCUCGUCCCAGUGCUGUCGUGCGCCUCGUGUCAUCACCUAAUCUUUUAAUGCUUCGUGGCAAGGCAAACUGAAUAUAACCCGUUUAAUGUCACCAAAUGGCCACGUCAAGCCCUCGCUUCUCACUGUUAAAGACUUAUAUAUGUGACUUUUAACAGCUGAGUGCAGUACUGAGCUCCAUAUGUAUACGUGAAUCAUUAAGGUGUGAAGAAAAAUGGGUAUACAAUAAACAGGUGAGCACACAGUUAAUUAAGGUAGCCUGCCUAGCACACCUGUCUGGUAAUAUUCUAAAGUUCAGGUGUGAGAAGUAUGGAUCAGGUAUGUUUUUUGAUAAGUACACAAACAUUGUAUUGAUUCGCAAGUGUCUGGUGAAAGAUAAUGUUGAAAUGGGUUAAUACACUUCACCUGUCCCUUAAUUACUCAGAAUACAGGUGUAAAAAAUCAGAUUCAUAAACCAGGUAUAUUCAUUCAGAUUACGAAACGAAGAAAUUGAUGUCGAAAUGGUGACUAUACCAUACCUGUCUUUUAAUUAGCGCGAAUACAGAUGUGAAAAAACUAUUAUUAAUUCAGAGACUUGAAUUUGAAAACGUGCCUAAAUUUUAUAACGUCAUAAAGAUAAAUACGUAGAAGAAAUAGAUAAUUAGCAAUGUACCACACCUGACAACCACUAAUGCAGGUGUGGAAAAUCAAACUAAAAGAAAUAAAAAGAAAAAAAUGUCGAAACUUAAAAAAAAAAAAAAAAAAAAACUAAACACCUGGCAACCACUAAUACAGGUGUGAAGCGUCCAACACCCAAACACCCACGUAGUUCAUAAGUACAACAAUCUGAGUAUCGUACUAAGCGGCCAACGUACGAUAACUACUUGGCACAGGGAUAGAGAGAGAGAGAGAGAGAGAUACAGGGACGACGCACGUGGUGAAGCUCAGUGUAUCCGCGACGGGGCUGGAGGUAGGGUGUGUGUUGCGUGCCCUCGGCUUGCCCGGCUUGCGUGCUGCAGGUGUGGCUAACUCGACCAACUAACGCCACCACCGGGAUACACCUCAGUACUGAAUACCACCUGGAACUGCCGGGAUGUGAAAAGAAAAAAAAAGAAAGAAAAAUUGUGAAAUACUGGAAUGAAUAGAAAAAAAAUUACGUGGUUAGGAGAGAAUUGACACAGAACAUUGCAACAAGAAA